GGGGGAUUGGCGCAACUGGUUGAGACGCAAUGGAUUUAGGCUCCAUAAGCAGAAAUGCUUCUAAGAGUUCGACUCUCUUAUCCCUCA
rnacentral:tRNA from 1 species